CCUACGGGUGGCUGCAGUGAGGAAUAUUGGUCAAUGGGCGAGAGCCUGAACCAGCCAAGUCGCGUGAAGGAUGACGGCCCUACGGGUUGUAAACUUCUUUUGUCAGGGAGCAAUUGGGUCCACGCGUGGGCUUAGGGAGAUUACCUGAAGAUAAAGCAUGGGCUAACCCCGUCCCAGCAGCCGCGGUAAUACGGGGGUUGCAAGGGUUACCCGGAUUUAUGGGGUUUAAGGGGUGCGUAGGCGGAAUAUCAAGUCGGCGGUAAAGAUUCGGGGCGAAACCCCGUCGUGCCGUUGAAACUGAUGUUCUUGAGGGGGCGAGAGGUAUGCGGAAUGCGUGGUGUAGCGGUGAAAUGCAUAGAUAUCACGCAGAACUCCGAUUGCGAAGGCAGCAUACC
rnacentral:rRNA from 1 species